rfam:Triticum aestivum genome assembly, contig: Triticum_aestivum_CS42_TGACv1_scaffold_194358_3AL
CAAAUACUCCCUCCGUUCCUAAAUACUUGUCUUUCUAGGCAUUUCAACAAGUGACUACAUACGGAGCAAAAUGAGUGAAUCUACACUUUAAAAUAUGUCUACAUACAUCCGUAUGUAGUAGUCAUUUGAAAUGUGUAGAAAGACAAGUAUUUAGGAACGGAGGGAGUAGAUU